UCCUUACAUUACAGAUUGAAUCCCUGGAUUCAUUCCCAUCUUAUAGCACAGUAAUCUUGGAAAGUUGCUCUUCACAGGUAUGACAAGGAAUACUAGAUGCACUGAAGGACAUCGGAUGCAAAUAUAUCUUCUUGGGGAAGGUUCCUAACAAGGAAACAGCUGGAACAUGACCCAGAAGCACUUGAAAUAUGCAGUGAUGCUUAAAGAUCAUGGAAAAUGCCAGAUUGCCCAAAUCCAAGCCCCAACAAGAAACUGGAUGAGCAAGUUAACUCACUGAGUCAACAGGAAUAAAACAUGAACAUUGGCUUAUCAUUACCUUCAGAAGACAGGAAGCCAAGGGAGGAGGAACAGAGGCAAAGGCUGCAGACCUGCAUGGAAGGUUUCCUCUG